rnacentral:rRNA from 1 species
CGAACGCUGGCGGCGUGCUUAACACAUGCAAGUCGAACGAUGAAGUUCCUUCGGGAAUGGAUUAGUGGCGAACGGGUGAGAAACACGUGAGAAACCUGCCUUUCAUUUUGGGAUAACUCCGGGAAACCGGAGCUAACACCGAAUACUCCGUCUCGGCGGCAUCGCUGAGCCGGGAAAAAAUUUUGAUGAAAGAUGGUCUCGCGGCCUAUCAGCUAGUUGGUGAGGUAAUGGCUCACCAAGGCGACGACGGGCAGCCGGCCUGAGAGGGCGACCGGCCACACUGGGACUGAGACACGGCCCAGACUCCUACGGGAGGCAGCAGUGGGGAAUAUUGGGCAAUGGGCGCAAGCCUGACCCAGCGACGCCGCGUGA